GCCUCCCCCGCCAUCGCACAUUCUUUUUUUUCAUCGUCCUUCCAUCUGGAUCUGGAUCUUGUGGCUUGUGCUCCCGUGCCUUGCGCGCCCGCCGCUCGCGCUCCACCUGCAACGCACGCCGCCCGCCUCCGCGACGUCACGGGUUUGGGGCCCUCGACCCCAACGCGCGGAGCCGCUCCACCCCGACGCGUGGCCCUCGGGAUGCCGCUCCGCCGCGACUUGUGGCCCCUGGUGCGCCGGCUCGGGGCUCCGCGGACGCGCGGACGCCGAGGCGAAGAGGGCCGCGACGCCGGCGCCAGGGCGUGGCUGCGCGAACUCCGGGACGUGUUGUACGAGCUCGGCGAUGCCAUCGACGAUGGCGCGGCGCCCGCCGGCAGCAGGAGGGACGGAGAUCGGAUUGCACCACCGCGCCGCCGUCCGCUGCGUGAAGGGAUUAGCACUAGGGUGGGUGUGAUUGGAUUAGGGCUGCUCGCUGGGAGAAGAAAAAGGAGGAGAUCGGAGGAGAUGGUCACAGGGAUUUAUGUCCUAGCGAGGGGACAGGGAUGAGCCGGUCCAGCAGCUUCAGUAGCCACCGCAGAGGCGGAGUCGGCAGCACGGGCAAGGGUGGCGGGAGGGUCCUUGAGCCAGCCUCCCCUCUCAUCUAACCACAGAUUGAAAAACCUAGCGAACCUCCUGUAAGAGUUACUGGAGUAAUCCGAGCAAGUGAGAAGCCAAGCGUAUUUGUUCCAACGAAUGAGCCCAGUGGUGGCCAGUGAUUUUACAUGGAUGUUCCCAUGAUUACUCGUGCUUGUGGGCUUCCUGAAAAUACUGUUUAUAUAGAAGAUAUAAACAAAGACGUCUCUCCAACAAACCUACAUCCUUUUCCAAAUGAUGGCAACACCUUGAUUCGUCACUCGGUGAUGCUAGAUGACCAUCUCAAAUACACUUUUACAUGGGAGAUGGUGGAUGAGCACGGGAUAGACCUUCACAGCCGCGACAAGGAUGAGUGGAUGAUGGAGCAGGAGACGGGCCUCCUGGGCGCCGGUGAGUUGACCCUUCUGGCCGAGAUAUGGCGGAGGCGCUGGUGGGUAGGACUGACGAUGAUGUUGAUGGAGCGAGGGAAAAAGAGAUGGAAAGAGAUCGGUACCUUCACCCAACAGAUAACACAUGGUUAUUAUAUCACAUCCACAAGCAACCAAACACAAUCUUGAGCUAGCCAGGCUUAGGUUGACCAACAACCAAAUACGAGCUCAUGGUUAAUAUUGGACAGGCUUGGGCUGGCCUGGCUCUAGAUUCUAGCCAGGCUAAAAUAAGCCCACCAACCGAACAGACCCUAAGCUUGCUGUAAGAUUUUCCAUUUAUUUUUCUAUGAAGCAGUUUUUGCUGCUAAUAACAUACUCUCUACCCAUGGUCAAAAGAAUUAUGGCUAAAUGUUUGAUCUUAUGAACAAACACGUUAAAGCAACAUGUUUGCUCACAAGAGUACAAGCCAUUUAUUUGCAGCAAUUCGAAUGGUUAGUUGGGACACAGUACAAGCCAUUGGAGCUGAAGUCAGACUUGGCCUCAGUUAGAAAAUCACCUCCGUGGGCCAUUGAUUCUUGGGGACUGGAUAAAGCCAGGAGGCAAACAGUUGUCUGGUUGGAGACUCUUCAGCGGUAAGUAUGAGGAAGUUGCCUACCUCCUCAACAAGGCCGGCAUCUCCUUCGAGCUCUCCAAGAACAAUGAUCCCAUCGCUACACUUAUGCAUUCCUUUUGCAGGUUUGUUCAGCCAGGGUUCAGCUCGUUAAAGCGCAGUCAUCAAUUUGGAGAUAUUAUCUUGUUUGCUUCCUGUUAGAUUUUUUCCCAGUCUCUCGCCAUAUAAUUCUGAGCUUGUGUCCUUAUAGGAGCUAGAGCUACCAAUCACGUUUUAGCUGUGCUGAUUGACUGAUUCCCAAGUCCCAAAUUUAGUAGGUCGUUGGUUGGGAAACUGUUGUAGGUGCAACCUGUUAAUUAUUUGUGUAUUUGUUACUACCUUGACUCCCUAAGCUAGAAGCUUGUUUUUUAUAAGAAAAUUGUUUGUUGUUGAAUUC